GAAAUGCGAUAAGUAAUGUGAAUUGCAGAAUUCAGUGAAUCAUCGAAUCUUUGAACGCACCUUGCGCUCCUUGGAUUCCUUGGAGCAUGCCUGUUUGAGUAUCAUGAAAUCUUCAAAGUAAAUCUUUUGUUAACUCAAUUGGUUUCUACUUUGGUAUUGGAGGUCUUUGCAGCUUCACACCUGCUCCUCUUUGUUCAUUAGCUGGAUCUCAGUGUUAUGCUUGGUUCCACUCGGCGUGAUAAGUUAUCUAUCGCUGAGGACACUGUAAAAGGUGGCCAAGGUAAAUGCAGAUGAACCGCUUCUAAUAGUCCAUUGACUUGGACAAUACUUUUAUGAUCUGAUCUCAAAUCAGGUAGGACUACCCGCUGAACUUAAGC
rnacentral:misc_RNA from 1 species